rnacentral:lncRNA from 1 species
UUCAUUUGCACUCCCUGUGGUCCCAGGUGGCAGAAAUGAGGAUGAAGCCAAGUGUUUGGAGUUCUUGCGAAGAAAAGAUACAACAGCCACACAAGGUAUUAUUAACUUUAUUACUUGUCAGGAAGAGGUGGGGGAAGCAGUUAAGAUUCGGCUAGAUGAGAGGUGAGUGUACUGCAUUACAAUCUCUGGAGGGUGUGGUGGGCAUAUGAGCUGGAAAUGACCAUUAUUUAUUUACUACUUUUGUUAAGUGCCUGUAAUGUGCUGGGUGCUAUGCUGGAUGUGUGUGUAACACAGACACAUAAACCAUUCAGGGUCAACCUUGCGUGGGUGGGAGGAGGUUAAAAGCACUUGCAUCUUCUUCUCCCUGAAAACAGAAACAUCUUCCUCCUUGGCCUACCAUGGUGCCAGCAAUCUCCAGCAUUAGCGAUGGCUCCUUGGGGGUAACCUGCAGAAGCUUCUUAACUGGGUUAAGGCAUCUUAUUACCUUGCAGGAGUAAGGCAAUCGCCAGCUCACUGAUAGUACACAAUGAUUUCGCUCAUUCCAUCCACUCUUGGCCAUUGGUGCAGCAGGAAGGGCCUUGGGGUCCUCCAGUUUGG